rnacentral:lncRNA from 1 species
AAAGUAGAGGAUCCAUUUCCGAUAUCUUAAGCAUUUCAGCAUAUUUGCAAUAAGUAUAAAAAUAAAUAAAAAAAAAUACCCCCAUGUAGAGAAAUAGAAAUCAGAAAGAUUCCAAGUGUUUUCACACAAUUUUGUCCAAAAACCAAAUGUAUAUAAAUAUUUUAGUUGAAGAUUCUUUUUGAUCCAUUUGCUAAUUCCAUCUAAUGAUGGAUUACAAAAUCAACAAUCUAAUUUUUACAAAAUUGAGAAGUGCAACACCUAAUUAUGCUAUCAAGAGAAGUAUGGCACUUAUUUAUGCUAUAUUAUUUUAUCCCAACCAAUCAACAACUACCACCUAUAUUAAUAGUUCAUGCAUACUCAUUCCAAGUACAAUGAGUUUUAUUUAUUAUUCACAACUUAAUAUCAUUUUAAUCAAAUAC